rnacentral:tmRNA from 1 species
GGGCUUGUACUGGUUUCGACGGGGGCUAUGAAGCUGGUGAAGCUAUCCGCAUGCGAUGCGUUAAAUGGCAAACCUAAAUACAAACGCUAACGACGAAUUAGCAUACGCAGCCUAAUUUAGGCGGCUGUCGGCCCCGGCGGACCUGCACUCCGGGUAACCGGCAUCAUUAAUUGCAGGAAACGACACGUGCAAAGCUUUGAGCACGCGGGCGUAGGAUGAAGCUACUGAACGUACCAGGAUGUCUGUUUCCGGGUACGGGAGGGAAUGUCAAAGAACAGACUAUGAUAGUAGAAGAACAGGGGAUUGGUUUUCGGACAGGGGUUCGAUUCCCCUCAGGUCCAC